AUUUAGAUUGUAUUGAGUAUACAGUCCACACCAUAUCUAUUUAGACAGUGAGGAAUCAGAUUUAGAUUGUAUUGAGUAUACAGUCCACACCAUAUCUAUUUAGACAGUGAGGAAUCAGAUUUAGAUUGUAUUGAGUAUACAGUCCACACCAUAUCUAUUUAGACAGUGAGGUAUCAGAUUUAGAUUGUAUUGAGUAUACAGUCCACACCAUAUCUAUUUAGACAGUGAGGAAUCAGAUUUAGAUUGUAUUGAGUAUACAGUCCACACCAUAUCUAUUUAGACAGUGAGGUAUCAGAUUUAGAUUGUAUUGAGUAUACAGUCCACAUCAUAUCUAUUUAGACAGUGAGGUAUCAGAUUUAGAUUGUAUUGAGUAUACAGUCCACACCAUAUCUAUUUAGACAGUGAGGUAUCAGAUUUAGAUUGUAUUGAGUAUACAGUCCACAUCAUAUCUAUUUAGACAGUGAGGUAUCAGAUUUAGAUUGUAUUGAGUAUACAGUCCACACCAUAUCUAUUUAGACAGUGAGGAAUCAGAUUUAGAUUGUAUUGAGUAUACAGUCCACACCAUAUCUAUUUAGACAGUGAGGAAUCAGAUUUAGAUUGUAUUGAGUAUACAGUCCACACCAUAUCUAUUUAGACAGUGAGGAAUCAGAUUUAGAUUGUAUUGAGUAUACAGUCCACACCAUAUCUAUUUAGACAGUGAGGAAUCAGAUUUAGAUUGUAUUGAGUAUACAGUCCACACCAUAUCUAUUUAGACAGUGAGGAAUCAGAUUUAGAUUGUAUUGAGUAUACAGUCCACACCAUAUCUAUUUAGACAGUGAGGUAUCAGAUUUAGAUUGUAUUGAGUAUACAGUCCACACCAUAUCUAUUUAGACAGUGAGGUUACUCAAAAAUGACACAACGUGUUCCAGUUGAACAACGUUUACUCCACCGUAUUUCCACAACAUGACACCUCCUUUGGUCGUCUUUCCUUCCAGUUCUCUGCUGCCCAUGACUGGAACAAAUUGCAAAAAUCUUUGAAGCUGGAGACUCAUAUCUCCCGCACUAGCUGUAAGCACCAGCUGUCAGAGCAGUUUACAGAUCACUGCACUUGUACACAGCCCAUCUGUAAACAGCCCAUCUAUCUACCUACCUCAUCCCCAUACUGUUAUUUAUUUAUUUAUUUUGCUCCUUUGCACCCCAA